rnacentral:rRNA from 1 species
UACGGAGGAUGCAAGCGUUAUCCGGAUUUAUUGGGCGUAAAGCGUCCGCAGGUGGUUUACCAAGUCUGCUGUUAAAGCGCGAGGCUUAACCUCGUACAGGCAGUGGAAACUGGGAGACUAGAGUCUGGUAGGGGUAGCGGGAAUUCCCAGUGUAGCGGUGAAAUGCGUAGAUAUUGGGAAGAACACCAGCGGCGAAAGCGCGCUACUGGGCCAUGACUGACACUCAGGGACGAAAGCUAGGGGAGCGAAAGGG